UGCCUACGGGGGGCAGCAGUAGGGAAUCUUCCAUAAUGGGCGAAAGCCUGAUGGAGCAACGCCGCGUGGGUGAAGAAGGUGCCAAGCAUUGUAAACUUCUUUUGUCAAGGGACAAAAUCAGGCUCGAGAGCCUGACCGAGGGUACUUGAAGAAAAAGCAUCGGCUAACUCCGUGCCAGCAGCCGCGGUAAUACGGAGGAUGCGAGCGUUAUCCGGAUUUAUUGGGUUUAAAGGGUGCGUAGGCGGUCCGUUAAGUCAGCGGUAAAAUUGCGGGGCUCAACCCCGUCGAGCCGUUGAAACUGGCAG
rnacentral:rRNA from 1 species